GCGGAGGCAAGCGGCAGUGAUCGGCGAGCGGCAGCGAUCCUCGAACCAUAGUUCCUCUCUCUCCUCUCGAGCGCUCGAGUUCUCCUCUCUCCAUUGAGCAGCCAUAGUUCCUCCUCCCUCUCUCUGAACGAGCUAAUCACUGGAUUUUGGUAUAUAUAUGAACGCAGAUAAUACCACAAGCACCCUCCUAAUUAAUCUUCUGAGUUUCAGAAAAGGGAGGAGGGAAUGCUUAUGCUUUUUCUCAGACAAACAGAACUUGGAUCAUUUCAAGCAACUUCGACAAAAUGAUUCUCUGGUCUCCGCCAUGUCUGCACGUUGCCAUCAGCCUGUAAAAAUGUCCUUGUGAAGGCAUUUUUCCUUGCGACAUGAUUUGGGACCGUCCAGGGCCUUGAACAAAUGACUGCCCCAUUCUAACACCAACC